UACGGAGGGUGCGAGCGUUGUCCGGAAUCAUUGGGCGUAAAGGGCGCGUAGGUGGCCCGGUCAGUCCGUGGUGAAAGCGCGGGGCUCAACCCCGCGUCGGCCAUGGAUACUGCUGGGCUUGAGCACUGUAGAGGCAGGCGGAAUUCCGGGUGUAGCGGUGGAAUGCGUAGAGAUCCGGAAGAACACCGGUGGCGAAGGCGGCCUGCUGGGCAGUGGCUGACACUGAGGCGCGACAGCGUGGGGAGCA
rnacentral:rRNA from 1 species